UACGUAGGGGGCAAGCGUUGUCCGGAUUUAUUGGGCGUAAAGAGCGUGUAGGCGGCCAGGUAGGUCCGUUGUGAAAACUCGAGGCUCAACCUCGAGACGUCGGCGGAAACCCUCUGGCUAGAGUCCGGAAGAGGAGAGUGGAAUUCCUGGGUGUAGCGGUGAAAUGCGCAGAUAUCAGGAAGAACACCCGUGGCGAAGGCGGCUCUCUGGGACGGUACUGACACUGGAGACGCGAAAGCGUGGGGAGCGAACAGG
rnacentral:rRNA from 1 species